rnacentral:rRNA from 1 species
GAUCAUGGCUCAGGAUGAACGCUAGCGACGGGCUUAACACAUGCAAGUCGAGGGGCAGCAUGAGGUAGCAAUACCUUGAUGGCGACCGGCGCACGGGUGAGUAACGCGUAUGCAACCUGCCCGAUACCGGGGUAUAGCCCAUGGAAACGUGGAUUAACACCCCAUAGUACUUUUAUCCUGCAUGGGAUGUGAGUUAAAUGUUCAAGGUAUCGGAUGGGCAUGCGUCCUAUUAGUUAG